GGCUUUGCAGUAAUUUCAGAUCAUGCUUAUUAUUGUCUGAAAAAGUUGUAGUGAGCCAUUCAGUCUUGGAGAAACAGUCACCAGGUAUCCUUGCUCUUCAGUCAUCUACCUAGCAGAGGAAGCUGGAGGAUGCUGGGUAGAUGUUGAUGUAGGCUGAGUUAGCACAGCACAUAAUUCUCGGAGCCUGUUUUCCUUCCUUCUUACCCGCACUGCUUGCUUCAUAUCAGUUUCCUUCAAUAGGAUGUUGGGCUUUUAUAUCUUUCGAUUUUUAGUCAUUUUUAGUUGUAUUUCUUGGCAGAGUCUUUUUUUUCCUUGUAGCAACUGAGGUUUGGUAUUAGAGGAAGUAGAAGGGAGGCACAGUUGUACAUACACACACAUAUACACACACCACAUACACACACACACACACACACACACACCACAUACACAUACAAUACACACAAACAUACAUAUACCACACACAUACACACCACACAUACAUACCACAUACACAUGCAUAAACCACAUACACCACAUACAUAUACACAUACAACACACACAUACACACACAACACACACAUACACACCACACAUACAUACCACAUACACCACACACAUAACACAUACAACACACAUAUAUACACACAACACACACAAACAUACAUACACCACACACAUACACACCACACAUACAUACCACAUACACAUGCAUAAACCACAUACACCACACACAUAUACACAUACAACACACACAUGCACACACUCAUACACCACACACACACACCAUACAUACACACAUGCAUACCACACACACACAAACACUACACAUAUGCCACAUAUACACAGCACAUGAACCACACACACACACACACUCCACACAUACACAGCACAUGUACCAUACACACACACACCCCACACAUACAUAGCACAUGUACCAUA
rnacentral:lncRNA from 1 species